GGCUCAUUGGUCUAGAGGUAUGAUUCUUGCUUAGAGUACGAGAAGUUCUGGGUUCAAAUCCCGGAUGUGCUC
rnacentral:tRNA from 1 species